GCGAGUCCGCACCAUAGAAGCGAUCGCCAUGGGCCAAGGUCCCCGAUGGCACGAUGCAAUUCGACGUCCUAGACUCGCUCGACCGAUCCCGCAUCAGUACGGACCAAUGUAGCUCGCGGCAGCGAGCCGCAAGGUCCACGCGAGAAAUGGACUUCAUUUCGCAGAGGUAGACGUUGUAGGAAAUGCUCACCAGUCGCUCCGACUUUGAGGCUACUUGCGCACCGUGGCGCUUCGCUUACGCUACUCGAAGCACGAAGAAACCAUGGAGGUGCAGUGAUUCAAUCGUCAACGCUGCAGCUUCCAAAUAAUCCAGAACAGUCCCAUCCAUGCGGCCCCAAAGAAUGGGGCCAGGCCAAACGUCAACAGCGGACGCUCGAAUUUGAAAACGAUUUUUGUGG
rnacentral:misc_RNA from 1 species